rnacentral:rRNA from 1 species
CUACGGAGGAUCCGAGCGUUAUCCGGAUUUAUUGGGUUUAAAGGGUGCGCAGGCGGCCAUUUAAGUCAGCGGUUAAAUCGUGGGGCUCAACCCCAUUCUGCCGUUGAUACUGGGUGGCUUGAUUGCGGUCGAGGUUGGCGGAAUUCGUUGUGUAGCGGUGAAAUGCAUAGAUAUGACGAAGAACACCGAUUGCGUAGGCAGCUGACCAGAUCGCAAAUGACGCUCAUGCACGAAAGUGCGGGGAUCGAACAGGAUUAGAUACCCUGGUAGUCCGCACAGUAAACGAUGAAUACUUGUUUUCGGCGAUAUAAUGUCGGAGGCAAAGCGAAAGCGAUAAGUAUUCCACCUGGGGAGUACGCCGGCAACGGUGAAACUCAAAUGAAUUGGCGGGG